GUGCUCGCUUAGGCAGCACAUAUACUAAAAUUGGAACGAUACAGAGAUUAGCAUGUCCCCUGCACAAGGAUGACAGGCAAAUUCGUGAAGCGUUCCAUAUUUAA
rnacentral:snRNA from 1 species